CGGACGGGUGAGUAACGCGUGGGUAACCUGCCUCACACUGGGGGACAACAGUUAGAAAUGACUGCCAAUACCGCAUAAGCGCACAGGACCGCAUGGUCCGGUGUGAAAAACUCCGGUGGUGUGAGAUGGACCCGCGUUUGAUUAGCUAGUUGGUGGGGUAACGGCCUACCAAGGCGACGAUCAAUAGCCGACCUGAGAGGGUGACCGGCCACACUGGGACUGAGACACGGCCCAG
rnacentral:rRNA from 1 species